UCGAGAAUCUUCCGCAAUGGACGAAAGUCUGACGGAGCGACGCCGCGUGAUGGAUGAAGUCCCUCUGGGACGUAAACAUCUUUUAUGAGGGAGAAAGUUUAUUGAUAGUACCUCACGAAUAAGGGGUUGCUAAACUCGUGCCAGCAGCAGCGGUAAUACGAGUGCCCCGAGCGUUAUCCGGAAUCAUUGGGCGUAAAGGGUGUGUAGGUGGCAUUGUUAGUCACACGUUAAACCCUGGGGCUUAACCCCAGAUCUGCGUGUGAUACGGCAAAGCUAGAGGAUGGCAGGGAUGUAUGGAACUCAUGGAGUAGGGGUGAAAUCCGUUGAUAUCAUGGGGAACACCGAAAGCGAAGGCAGUACAUUGGGCCACUCCUGACACUGAAACACGAAAGCGUGGGUAGCGAAUGGGAUUAGAUACCC
rnacentral:rRNA from 1 species